AACUCUUAGCGGUGGAUCACUCGGCUCGUGGCGUCGAUGAAGAACGCAGCUAGCUGCGAGAACUAAUGUGAAUUGCAGGACACAUUUAUCAUCGACACUUCGAUCGCACUUUGCGGCCCCAGGUUCCUCCUGGGGCUACGCCUGUCUGAGGGUCG
rnacentral:rRNA from 1 species